CCAACCCGUCAUGUUCCUCAUCUUUUGGCGAAAACAAACUGUUAACACCCACAACCAACUCUCAUUCUCCCACCUGCAACCCCCCAUUCCUUCCCCAGCACCAAUUUAAUUUUUGCACCCCAACCCCGACUCCUCCUCCGCCGGCGAAAACCCCUCAACCACCUCCAUCUUUUCCACCCCACCUAACUCCAUCCCACCCAUAAGAAACAUAUAUUGCAAGGAGGGUGGGGCUAGAACCAAGACAUAAAGAUCGGGGGUAGGGGUGGGUGUGGUGAGAAAUUGCACGGACGAUGAAUAAGGGAGGGUGGGGUCUUCAAGGUGUGAAGGGUGUGGGAGAGAUUGGAAAGUGAGAGAAAUGACAAAUAU